AUCAAGCUACUUUGUAAAUUGUUUUAAGCGUGCAUUUCUGUUUUUGUUUUGCUAACAGAAACUGAAGUGAAAGACAAAUCGUCGUCAAUCCAGCGAUUUGCACGAAUUUUCACAAUCUGGGAUUGAUUGCAAUCCAUUGCAGUCAUUUUCUUAGACGAAGCGCCGGAAUGGAAGUUCCUACAAGUUCUCGGGCAGCUGAAGACGAACAUUUAUGAUCCAAUGUUUGCACGGCUCAGACCCAAACCAGAACCUGGGAAAGGAGCUGAAUCAGAUGAAUCCGAUGUUUUCAUCGGUGUUUUCGAAUGCCCACAUUCAUGAGGAUGGUGAUUCAGUAGUAUGUUAGCGGUUAUAAGUAUUUAUAAUAGUGACAAUUAGUGGAAAAGAUUUUAGAGGUAGCGCAUAAAAAUCUAGUAAGGGUUCAUUCACAAAUUUCAUAACGUCGAAAAUGGCAAUUUUCGACAUCUACCCACCCCCUCGUAACGCUUUUUGUAUGACUAUUCUACGAAUUUUGUAUGGCCUGUAACAUUUUGAGGAUACCCACCCACCUCCUUCCCCAUUAUGAAAUUUGCGAACUGGCCUCAAAAUCAAAUUAUGUAACUUCCUCAGUUAUUCAAGUCAUGGACGAAUAAAAUGUAUAUGCCAAAGGAAAAUAAUAAAAAAUAAAACGAAAUUUGCAGUACUAUUUUUUCC